rnacentral:rRNA from 1 species
UUUAAAAUGAGAGUUUGAUCCUGGCUCAGGACGAACGCUGGCGGCGUGCCUAAUACAUGCAAGUCGAACGAAACUUUCUUACACCGAAUGCUUGCAUUCACCGUAAGAAGUUGAGUGGCGGACGGGUGAGUAACACGUGGGUAACCUGCCUAAAAGAAGGGGAUAACACUUGGAAACAGGUGCUAAUACCGUAUAUCUCUAAGGAUCGCAUGAUCCUUAGAUGAAAGAUGGUUCUGCUAUCGCUUUUAGAUGGACCCGCGGCGUAUUAACUAGUUGGUGGGGUAACGGC